AUUUCCACUGGUUUCGCAUUUUCCUGUCGUCCGCAUUUUCCUCUGUCUCAGAGCAUGCGAAAGGUAUUUAUGAGCUUUUCCGCAGCAAUUGAAGCUAUUGAAGAGAUUGACAGUGGCAAAGAACCAGCUGAAUGGAAGAGGUUCAAUUCCAAGGAACUAGGAAUUAGCAGUUCGAUGAUCGCAAGGCCUACUAGAGUUGUUCUUAAUGGUCUUAAAAGUAAAGG
rnacentral:misc_RNA from 1 species